rnacentral:rRNA from 1 species
GAUGAACGCUGGCGGCGUGCCUAAUACAUGCAAGUAGAACGCUGAAGGAGGAGCUUGCUCUUCUGGAUGAGUUGCGAACGGGUGAGUAACGCGUAGGUAACCUGCCUGGUAGCGGGGGAUAACUAUUGGAAACGAUAGCUAAUACCGCAUGACAACAGUUAUUGCAUGAUAACUGUUUAAAAGGGGCAACUGCUCCACUACCAGAUGGACCUGCGUUGUAUUAGCUAGUUGGUGAGGUAACGGCUCACCAAGGCGACGAUACAUAGCCGACCUGAGAGGGUGAUUGGCCACACUGGGACUGAGACACGGCCCAGACUCCUACGGGAGGCAGCAGUAGGGAAUCUUCGGCAAUGGACGGAAGUCUGACCGAGCAACGCCGCGGGAGUGAAGAAGGGUGUCGGAUCGUAAAGCUCUGUUGUAAGAGAAGAACGAGUGUGAGAGUGGAAAGUUCACACUGUGACGGUAGCUUAACAGAAAGGGACGGCUAACUACGUG